rnacentral:lncRNA from 1 species
CCCGUUUCUUUCUUCUGAGACUGUGCAGCUUGCCCAAAGCCACUCAGGCUGGCGCUUCUCCCAGAAGGCACAGUCAGGGAAUUGAACUCCAAAGCUCGGGUUCCACAGUCAGAUACCCAACUCACUGAGCUAUCCAGCCUGCCUUCGAGGCUUGUAGAGCCAUUGAAAUAAAUGGCAUUGAAGCUAUGACUAACUGAAGCCCCCUUGAUUUCAAGAUGUCUACUCUAAAUAUGACUAAACCCAGAUCCAAUCCACUGAGGGAAUGCUUCUUAAACCAGCUGCAAAUCAGCCAUUGUUAACUGCUGACAACAUAGUUACAGCAGCAACAGCUCAGGUGCCUGUCGACAUAGCAAAGUCGAACCCACCACUGUUUUCUAGGACAGCGACUCAAGUCUCAGCCAGGACGUAUGGUAGUGGAAUGACCUUAUACUGUUGAAGUAAGCAAAACUUACGUUCCUCAGAAAGGAAUGGCACAGUGGGGUUGCCUUGUGAUCAGUCACAGCAGUGCAUCCACGCACAAGGACAGAAAGGGGAGAUUAUAGAAGUAAGCAAAAGUAUUUUCUAUCAGCAAGUGUUUUCUUGUUUGCAGCCAAGAGCAAAGCAAGCCUUGCAGUGCCUUGCAGUGGUGAAAUUAGGAGAUGAAAAUGUUUAAAAUUAUUAAACAAUUACAUUCAGUUGAUAAAGAUACUUGAGUGGCUGAUGCUCAUGUUCUGGAAACAAGCUUCAUUCCUUUUGUGGUCAACCUGAGAUCACAGCAUUG